rnacentral:rRNA from 1 species
UACGAAGGGGGCUAGCGUUGCUCGGAAUCACUGGGCGUAAAGGGCGCGUAGGCGGAUCUUUAAGUCGGGGGUGAAAGCCCAGGGCUCAACCCUGGAACUGCCUUUGAUACUGUCGAUCUGGAGUAUGGAAGAGGUGAGUGGAAUUCCGAGUGUAGAGGUGAAAUUCGUAGAUAUUCGGAGGAACACCAGUGGCGAAGGCGGCUCACUGGUCCAUUACUGACGCUGAGGUGCGAAAGCGUGGGGAGCAAACAGG